rnacentral:rRNA from 1 species
GACGUAGGGGACGAGCGUUGUCCGGAUUCAUUGGGCGUAAAGCGCGCGUAGGCGGCCACGCAAGUCGGGUGUGAAAUCCCGGAGCUCAACUCCGGAACUGCACUCGAAACUGCGCGGCUUGAGGUAGGUAGGGGAGAUCGGAAUUCCUGGUGUAGCGGUGAAAUGCGCAGAUAUCAGGAGGAACACCGGUGGCGAAGGCGGUGGUCUGGGCCGGCACUGACGCUGAGGAGCGAAAGCGUGGGGAGCAAACAGG